CCGCUUAGAGCAUCCACAUUGGUAUGAUAUUUACCAUUUAAGACUCGAUAUCAAAUAGGUAAAUCCGUUGUGGGAAAAAAAAAGUGAAGGUACGCAGGAUCUCACUUAAGACACCAAAUCUUAAGUGGAUCCACACCACUUUUCAAUAAAAUAAUCAUUUUUGAGUUGUUUUUGUUGUUGUUGGGAUCCAUUUAGACGUUUUGAUAGAUGAUCUCUAUUGAAGUGGUUGAGUACCUAUUAAAUACUAUUAUUAAAAAAUAAUAAAAAAUGAUGUGUCAAUGUAGGUCCAGUUUAAGACCUCAAAUGUGAGAGUCUCCAUUGUGGAAACUCUGAUUCACUAAGUUGGUUAGUUAAAAUUUAUAACACAUUUAAUAUAAAAACUUGAUGAGGAUCAAAGUUUAUUAAAUUUUUUUAAUUAUAUUUUAAAAAUAUUUUAUUAUUUCUCUUUUAGCCUUUCAUUAUAGACAAGGGACAAAUCCAAGAAGAGAAGUAAUUGAAUAAAGAAGAUGCAUUAAUUAGUUCCAACAAAUAAACAUAGAUUCAUCUUAGAACCCUUAUCAGAAGAAGUUUAGUUGCUCAUGGAAUAGAAAACAUCUAUAUUAUAUAUAAAGAAAAUAGUCUCUUUUAGCUCUUUUGGACUGAUUCCUUCUCCUUCCAAAAUUACCCUCAACAUUUAAUGCAAAUAGCACAUAUAACAAAUAGAGGUAAUCCUAUUGGCGGAGAUUCCCGUAAGUUGAAUUUUUGGCAACCGGUCCUUUGACCGUAUAAAAUCUAGAUUGUUGAGUUCGAAGAGUCGCAACUUAUCUUUGGGUGGUCGAUUGGUUCUUCCGAAUUUUGUCUUGUCCUCUUUACCGGUCUAUUUUCUUUCCUUCUUCAAGGCUCCUGCAUGUAUGAUUUCUUCUACCGAAUCUAUUUUUAAUUGUUUUUUCUAGGAGGGAGUGAGAAGUUAGGAAAAUAUCUUGAAUUAAAUGGGACAUUGUUUGUUCUAAUAAGGAAAAAGGAGGUAUGAGGGUUAGGAGGCUAAGGGAAUUCAAUAUGGAAUUGUUAGGUAAAUGGUGGUGGAGGUUGAAGGAAGAGCGUGGUAGUUUUUGGUUUAGAGUGUUGGUAACAAGGUUUGGGGAAGGUAGCAUUUUUGUUCAUGCUGACAGUGGGAGGGGUUCGGUGUGGUGGCGUAAUUUACUAAGUAAUGGUCGUGAUGUUGGUACAACUGCAUGAAAUUGGAUUGACGAUAACUGUGUGUGUGAGGUGGAUGAUGAUAAUUCCUUUUUAUUUUGGUGGGAUCCGUGGAUGGAGGACGUGGCUUUGAAAGUUAUGUUCAGUCACAUUUUUGAGCUUUCUGAUAACAAGAUGGCUACGGUGGCUGAGAUGGAGCACUUCAGGUGGGGUGAGAUUGGAGAGGCUUGGAAGUGGUGCAGGCCUUUACGGGCGUGGGAGGAAGAUCAGUUGAGGGAGUGUAGUACUUGUUUGAAUUCUAUUAUUUUGCAGGAUGAUGUUACAAACAGAUGGCGGUGGAAUGUCCACACUACAGAAUCUUACACCGUCAACAAUGCUUAUAAUUUUCUUCAACAAACUUCUUCCCAAUAUAUCAAUGAAGAUGACUUCCAUGUUUUUUGGAAUAAAGAUGUCCCUCCCAAGGUUAAUCUUUUUGUGUGGCGUCUCCUUCUCAACCGUCUUCCAACAAACUAUGUAACACCCCGUUUUUCCAACAUAAUUUUUUUUAGCAUAAAUCAGAGUAAAACACCUUAAACGAAAUGUUACACUUCUUUCAAACGUAAAUAUAGCAAAAUUACUAUUUAUUUCAAUCAUUUCAUAAUAUCAAAAUUAAAUCUCAAUUCAGCGGAAAAUAUCUUAAUGAAAUAUCAUGUUGGGAAAACGGGGUGUUACAAUUGGUGUCAGAGCAGGUUGGUCCGUCCGGCCAAGUAGUAGAAGUGGUGGCUCAAGUGUCAUAGGACUCUGAUACGUAACGAGAUGAGAAAUUGUUGUUUUAUUUUCAUUCCUUAUGUAUCAAUUUUUGGAACAUGUUGUUGGAGCCUUUAUUGUUAUUGAACAAAUUGUUAAUGGAUAAUUAUGUUGAGGCCUUUGUGCCAUAAUUUAUUGAUGGUUAUUAAUGUUAAGUGAUCGAAAAAUAUUCCGCUGCAAAGUAUUGAUUUAUCUAUUAAAGUUGAUUUUAAUAUAUAGCAUUUUAUUCUAUUUAAGAAAUUUUGAAAAGCAGUGUGACAUUCCCAUUUGUUGUUGAACUCUGAUUUAUUUUAUUUAAUAUUUAGCUGUUGGGUUAACGGGGUGUUACAAACGACAAUUUGGUAAAGAUAGGUGUACUUCCAGAUACUUCUCAACAAUGUGUGGAGGAUGUGGUAAUCUAGAGGACGCCGCCCAUCUAUUUUUCAUUGCAAUUUUUUCCGUCAAAUUUGGCUUGUUGUGUACGAUUGGUUAGGCUUUAUUUUGGUUACACUAUUUACUAUUUCACACCAUUUAGCCCAGUUUGGUUCCUUCAUAGGUUUUACUAAACGCGAGAAAGACAUAAUUCGUUUAGUUUGGUUUUCUUCAGCUUGGGUUUUAUGGAAAGAAAGAAAUGCAAGAAUCUUCAAGAAUUCUCAAAAUAUUAUUCACCACUUGCUUGACAACAACAAGGCUCAAUCUUUUGGUUGGUUGAAAGCGAAACACAAAAAUCUGGCUUUUGACUAUCAUUCGUGGUGGACUAACCCCUUGAGUUUCUUGUAAUGUUUCUUUUUAUUUUCAUUCAGAUGUUCCUUAUCUAUUUCUGAUGUAACUUGAUUUUUCUCUUUGGUUCUCUCUAGCACACCUUGUGCGGGGCAAGCAAAGAAGUUUGGUUAUUGAAGUUUCAUUUUAGAAUAGACAUGAGAAAAUUCAAAUAUUAAAACAAAAUGUAACAAAUUGUACAUAUCUGAUUUAUUUUUCCUUAUUAUUUAAAAAAGAUAAUGGAUGAAGUGAAUUCAAAUAUUUAAAAAAAUUGUAACAAACACAAUAUUUUUUUGUUACCACAAUAUUUAAAAGAAGUGUAACAAACUAUAUCAAGUAUAUGUCACUAUAAAUAUAACCAAUAAGAAAAUGAUUUUUUUUUUUUUUUUAUAAAAAGAAAAUGAUUGUUAUUUUAUUUUUAUUUUAUAUACAAAUAAACCAAAAUACGCAGAAUUGAUAAAUAAUUUUGUUAUAUGCUAUGACAAUAAUUCGUAGAUAAAUCGAUGUAUGAAUAGUUUUCAUUGAUAUUUAAAAAUUUAAAAAUUGUAAUAAAAAUUAUUCAAACAAAUAUACACACACAUGUUAGCGUAGUAAAAAGAGCGGAUAGACGAACAUGGUAGUGCCCGUCUUUAUAUAUAAAUACAAAUGCUAACAUGUAAGAUGUUGUUCCUUUUGUCUCAAUGAAUAUUUUAAAGAUAUUAAUGGUCAAAGUUGUGUAUUGGUAUGUGUGACGUGGUUGACUAUGACAUGUAUUUUGAAACAGAGGGAGUACAAGACAUACUCUCAAGGAAGAAGAUGAGGAAAAACCCUAGCUGCUUGAUAGACAAUUUAGGCAAGUGUAACAAAUCGUUACCAAAUAAUAAAAUGACAAGUAAAGUAUCGUAUCCACAUAGAUUUUCGUUCCAAAAAAUAAAUAAAUAAAACAAAUGGGGGGGAUAUGUUUGUUCAGAGCGAGAGUUUAGAAGUAACCUGAUUUUUAUUGCAGAACGUUACAGGCGGUUAGAAUUCUUCGAAUAUCCUCUAUUCAUUUGUUGAAAUUAAGUGACAGACAGGUUAUUCAGAGACUAGUUAAAUGAUACCCAUUUAAGUGAUGAGUUUGUGGGGUUUUAUCCCCUCCAGCUAUCGAGUUACAACCAUUACACCUAAGGUUCUACGCGCAUCAAGGGCAUUUGAUUUUCAAUCCUAGAGGGAGAGUUCACCUUUGUACGUAGUUUUAAGUGAGUCCUUACUCUCUCAGAGGUAAUUGAAGCAUAAACUUAAAUUAGAGUUCCUAAAUUCUCAAUUAUCCUAAGAGUACCCUCACAUAUGAAUUUUAAAAGUACAUCAGCAUACUCCUCAUCUUGGAAGUUCUACAAACGAGCACCCUAUCUCAUCAACCUUACCAAGGAUGAAAGGGUAAAAUUACAAUGCUACGUUCGGAUGUUUAUUCACAGUUUUCCUAGUUAUGGCGGUUUCCCUAAUUCUGGUGGUUGUCCACCGUUAUCUUAGAUACGUCCUAAUUCAAGUAAUUAUUUAUCGUUAUCUUAGGUAUUUCACUUUCGUAAUUCAAGUCAUUACUUACCGUUAUCCCAGGUGUGUCCUAGGUCAUGUGGAAGCAUUUCGCUCUUCGUAUAAUAAAAUUAAACAAUCUCAUAAAAUAAAAGAAUAAAAAGACUUAAAUUAAAUAGAUCCAACAAACAAAAUAGAGGUUCAUCUUAGAACCCUACAUAAUAAGGUCUAGUUAGUCAUGGUAAUUAAAGACAAAUUACAAAAGAAAUAAUAUUUUUCAUUAUUGUAGAUUAUUAAUUAUUAUAUCCUUUGGAAGUAUAACUAUAAUAAUAUUGGAUAAAUGAUCAAUGAGUCACUAAAUAAUAUAGUUGUACUAUUCAUACAGGGGACUCAUAACAACAUAUUUAUCAUUAACGAGAUCUUUUUCUUUUACUAAAAAUAAACGAUAUCCAUUCGUUCGAAUUGAUAGAGUACAUCGAUACAAUACAAUACAAAUUCGCUAAAAACAAAGAUGAUGAAUCUGCGAACAAUCUCAUAUCAUUCAUGUUAAUAGCAUAAAACGACAAAAUACUUAAGCCUGCAUAUAUGACUAUAUUCAGGUCUUUAGAAUACCCAUAUCUCCAGAUCUGCAAUGUUGACGACACCAAAUUCAUUAAAAAAUAAUAAAAAAUGAUGUGUCAAUGCAGGUCCAGUUUAAGACCUCAAAUGUGAGAGUCUCCAUUGUGGAUACUCUUUGGUUUACUAAGUUGGUUAGUUAAAAUUUAUAACAC
rnacentral:lncRNA from 1 species